UAUCGAUAAGCCAUUGGAGGGCAAGUCUGGUGCCAGCAGCCGCGGUAAUUCCAGCUCCAAUAGCGUAUAUUAACGUUGUUGCAGUUAAAAAGCUCGUAGUUGAAGUGAGGGAGUGUGUGUUCAUGAGAGCUAGUCUCGAGUGUUCACAACCUCCCCCCUCCAAUCGGUGUAGUGGGGUAUUCAGUUAUUCCACUACUCCUUUGGUCGUUUACUGUGAGAAAAUUAGAGUGUUCAAAGCGGGCGUUUGUUUGAAUAGAUUAGCAUGGAAUAAUGAUUGAAGGCUUUCGUGUUCGAUUUGAUUGGUUUGUUCAUGGAAGCAAGGUUAAAAGGAACAGUUGGGGGUAUUCAUAUUCACUAGUUAGAGGUGAAAUUCUCGGAUUUAUGGAAGAUGAACA
rnacentral:rRNA from 1 species